rnacentral:rRNA from 1 species
AUACGUAGGUGACAAGCGUUAUCCGGAUUUACUGGGCGUAAAGGGCGUGUAGGCGGUCUUGCAAGUCAGAAGUGAAAUUCCUGAGCUCAACUCGGGCGCUGCUUCUGAAACUGCAGGACUUGAGUGCUGGAGGGGAUAGCGGAAUUCCUAGUGUAGCGGUGAAAUGCGUAGAUAUAAGGAAGAACUCCGAUUGCGAAGGCAGUCCGCUGGGGCACGUCUGACGCUGAUGCUCGAAGGUGCGGGAAUCAAACAGGAUUAGAUACCCUGGUAGUCCGCACGGUAAACGAUGAUUACCCGAUGUCGGCGGUAGACAGUCGGCGGCCAAGCGAAAGCGAUAAGUAAUCCACCUGGGGAGUACGCCGGCAACGGUGAAACUCAAAGGAAUUGACGGGG